GCCCGCAUUGUAAUUUGUAGAGGAUGCUUUUGGUGCGGUACCUUCCGAGUUCCUUGGAACAGGACGCCUUAGAGGGUGAGAGCCCCGUACGGUUGGAUGCCUAGCCUCUGUAAAGCUCCUUCGACGAGUCGAGUAGUUUGGGAAUGCUGCUCUAAAUGGGAGGUAAAUUUCUUCUAAAGCUAAAUAUUGGCCAGAGACCGAUAGCGCACAAGUAGAGUGAUCGAAAGAUGAAAAGCACUUUGAAAAGAGGGUUAAAUAGCACGUGAAAUUGUUGAAAGGGAAGGAUUUAUCACCAGACCUUUGCCUGGCGGAUCAUCCGGUGUUCUCACCGGUGCACUUCGCCAGGUCGAGGCCAGCAUCGGUUUCGGCCGGGGGAUAAAGGCUUCGGGAAUGUGACUCGCUCCGGCGAGUGUUAUAGCCCGUUGCGUAAUACCCUGGCCGGGACCGAGGAACGCGCUCUGCAAGGAUGCUGGCAUAAUGGUGAUCAAUCACCCGUCUUGAAACACGGACCA
rnacentral:rRNA from 1 species